AUGAACCAAUGGUGGAUUUUGAGUGAGGGCCAACCGGGUUACUCUCAGAAGGCGAUCAACUCUUUGCAAAUGUUCAUCUGCAGGGAGAUUUGAAACGAAAGGAAUGCUAGGGCAUUUCGCAACAAGGCUUCCUUGCCCUCGCGGGUACCAGUGAUGAUUAGAGACGAUGCAAAGACUUGGGUGAUAGCAGGGGCUAGAUUUUUGGGAAAUAUCCUACCGGAAGAGUAA
rnacentral:rRNA from 1 species